rnacentral:rRNA from 1 species
AUACGGAGGGUGCAAGCGUUAUCCGGAAUCACUGGGUUUAAAGGGUGCGUAGGCGGCCUGGUAAGUCAGAGGUGAAAUACACGAGCUUAACUGGUGAAUUGCCUUUGAAACUAUCAAGCUAGAAUUAUGUUGAGGUCAGCGGAAUGAGCCAUGUAGCGGUGAAAUGCAUAGAUAUGACUUAGAACACCAAUUGCGUAGGCAGCUGGCUGGGCAUUGAUUGACGCUGAGGCACGAAAGCGUGGGGAGCGAACAGGAUUAGAAACCCCAGUAGUCC